rnacentral:misc_RNA from 1 species
GAUGAAGAACGCAGCGAAAUGCGAUAAGUAAUGUGAAUUGCAGAAUUCAGUGAAUCAUCGAAUCUUUGAACGCACAUUGCGCCCGCUAGUAUUCUGGCGGGCAUGCCUGUUCGAGCGUCAUUUCAACCCUCGACCUCCCUUUGGGGAAGUCGGCGUUGGGGACCGGCAGCACACCGCCGGCCCUGAAAUGGAGUGGCGGCCCGUCCGCGGCGACCUCUGCGUAGUAAACCAACUCGCACCGGAACCCCGACGUGGCCACGCCGUAAAACACCCAACUUCUGAACGUUGACCUCGAAUCAGGUAGGACUACCCGCUGAACUUAAGCAUAUCAAUAAGCGGAGGA